rnacentral:rRNA from 1 species
CUAUGUGUACGCGGUAGAGGAGCUUUCUGUAUGGGUUGAAGUCGUACCGUAAGGAGCGGUGGACUGUACAGAAGUGAGAAUGCUGGCAUAAGUAGCGAGAAAUAAGUGAGAAUCUUAUUGGCCGAAAACCUAAGGUUUCCUGAGGAAGGUUCGUCCGCUCAGGGUUAGUCGGGACCUAAGCCGAGGCCGAAAGGCGUAGGUGAUGGACAAUCGGUUGAUAUUCCGAUACCGCCUAUUUACGUUUGAGAAAUGGGGUGACGCAGUAGGAUAAGAUGUGCGCACUAUUGGAUGUGCGUCUAAGCACUUAGGCAUGCUUGAUAGGCAAAUCCGUCGAGCUAAGCUGAGGUGUGAUGGGGAG